rnacentral:rRNA from 1 species
AUUGAACGCUGGCGGCAUGCUUUACACAUGCAAGUCGAACGGUAACAGGUUAAGCUGACGAGUGGCGAACGGGUGAGUAAUGCAUCGGAACGUGCCCGGUCGUGGGGGAUAACGCAGCGAAAGCUGCGCUAAUACCGCAUACGAUCUGAGGAUGAAAGCGGGGGACCGUAAGGCCUCGCGCGAUCGGAGCGGCCGAGGUCAGAUUAGGUAGUUGGUGGGGUAAAGGCUCCCCAAGCCAACGAUCUGUAGCUGGUCUGGGAGGACGACCAGCCACACGGGGACGGGGACACGGCCCAGACCCCUACGGGAGGCAGCAGUGGGGAAUGUUGGACAAUGGGCGAAAGCCUGAUCCAGCAAUGCCGCGUGCAGGAAGAAGGCCUUCGGGUUGUAAACUGCUUUUGUACGGAGCGAAAAGGUCUCCUCUAAUACAGGGGGCUCAUGACGGUACCGUAAGAAUAAGCACCGGCUAACUACGUGCCAGCCGCCGCCGUAA